rnacentral:sRNA from 1 species
CAGUCAGAUAAGGGUAUACGUGCAAUC